rnacentral:lncRNA from 1 species
AGGGGGAAAGCCCGAAGCAGGGGCCAAGCCCGAAGCAGGGGACGGGUAUGAGGUUAUAAAGUGGGCUUAUAGUAGGCUUUUUUCCCCCACCUGAUUUCACUUCAAUUAGCCACAGCUGGGUGUCGUUGUGGGGAUCUCUGUGAGUUUCCUCUUCCAGGGCGUAAGAGGCCGGCUUUCCCCCCGCAGGCCGGUGCUGGCUUUGGUACCCCCGCGUUUCUAGGAUGUCGGAGGCUCCUCCCACGUUUCCUCCCACCCUCCACUGACUCACGGGUUCCUCCCUCACUGCUCCUGAGGGAGAGCUGUUCAGUCUCUUUCCAGAACUGGCCUUAGCCCAGCAGGGUGGUCCCAGCUGCACCCCAUCUUCAGUCCCUUCUCCAGCUUCCUCACACCUGCUAUGUGGCUGCCAUAACACGUACCGCACACUCGGUGGCAUAAGACAACGGAGACUUAUUCUCUCACAGUUCUGGAGGCCAUAACCCCCAAAUCAGUACCCCUGCGCUGAAUUCAGGGUCUCUGCAGGGCUGGGCAUGGGGAGACCCCAUGUCUCUGUCUUUCCUUCUUCCGGUGGUACCUGGACCCCUGGGCUGGCAGCCCCUUCCGUCAUCUCUGGCUCUGUGGCCACAUCACCUUCCCCUCUCUGCUGUCCUCCCUCCCUCUCAGAAGGACCCUGUGAUUUCAUUGGCCCGCCAGGAUCAUCCAAGAAAAUCACCCAUCUCAGGAGCCUCA